rnacentral:rRNA from 1 species
UAAGGUGAUUAUAGCGAUGGGGCUCACCUCUUACCAUUCCGAACAGAGAAGUUAAGCCCAUUAGCGCCGAUGGUACUGCCACAGGUGGGAGAGUAGGUCGUUGCCUUGC